rnacentral:rRNA from 1 species
GAGUUUGAUCAUGGAUCAGAUUGAACGCUGGCGGCAUGCCUUACACAUGCAAGUCGAACGGCAGCACGGGAGCUUGCUCCUGGUGGCGAGUGGCGAACGGGUGAGUAAUGCAUCGGAACGUAUCCUGGAGUGGGGGAUAACGUAGCGAAAGUUACGCUAAUACCGCAUAUUCUGUGAGCAGGAAAGCAGGGGACCUUCGGGCCUUGCGCUAUCAGAUGAGCCUAGGUCGGAUUAGCUAGUUGGUGGGGUAAUGGCUCACCAAGGCGACGAUCCGUAACUGGUCUGAGAGGAUGAUCAGUCACACUGGAACUGAGACACGGUCCAGACUCCUACGGGAGGCAGCAGUGGGGAAUAUUGGACAAUGGGCGAAAGCCUGAUCCAGCCAUGCCGCGUGUGUGAAGAAGGUCUUCGGAUUGUAAAGCACUUUAAGUUGGGAGGAAGGGCAGUAAGUUAAUACCUUGCUGUUUUGACGUUACCGACAG